rnacentral:rRNA from 1 species
UACAGAGGGGGGCAAGCGUUGUUCGGAAUUACUGGGCGUAAAGGGCGCGUAGGCGGCCUUCUAAGUCGAACGUGAAAUCCCUGGGCUCAACCCAGGAACUGCGUCCGAUACUGGAUGGCUUGAAUCCGGGAGAGGGAUGCGGAAUUCCAGGUGUAGCGGUGAAAUGCGUAGAUAUCUGGAGGAACACCGGUGGCGAAGGCGGCAUCCUGGACCGGCAUUGACGCUGAACAGCGAAAGCCAGGGGAGCAAACGGG